GAUCCUGGCUCAGGACGAACGCUGGCGGCAUGCUUAACACAUGCAAGUCGAACGGACUGAUUCCCUUCGGGGAUGAAAGUUAGUGGCGAACGGGUGAGUAAUGUAUGAGCAACCUGCCUCUGUCAACGGGAUAACAGUUGGAAACGACUGCUAAUACGGUAUAUGACCACGGCACCGCAUGGUGCUGCGGUAAAAGAUUUUAUCGGACAGAGAUGGGCUCAUAUCCCAUUAGGUAGUUGG
rnacentral:rRNA from 1 species